AACAUUUUGAAUUGAGUAUGGCGAGUCUGACAGAAAAUUUAACUUAAGGCAGAUGGAAUUGAGCUAAGGAGCAUAUGGUUGUCUGGGUUUGAAAGGAGUCAAAGGGAUGUGCCUCAAUGAGGCUGUGGCUGCAAAUGAGGAAUGCUGCUAUUCUCACUUUGACCUAUAGGGAAAGAAAGUAACUCAUUAAUCUCGUAUUAAUAUCAUUUUACAUAUGGCAGGCAAAAGUCAUCCUUCAAUCAAGUGCAGAAGUUGAAGGGGGAAAUAUCCCUGUAGCAAUAUGGCACUAAGAGCUUAUUAAGUUCUUGGAAAUAAAGAGUGUUCCAGGAACUGUGAUAGACAUAAAAUAAUCUGAAUGAUGUCAAGGGUAUGUUUACUUGGAUACUUUGAUGUAACUCC
rnacentral:lncRNA from 1 species